rnacentral:tRNA from 1 species
GGUCGCUCAGUGGUAGAGUGCUUGCCUUGCAUGCAUGAGGCCCUGGGUUCAAUUCCUCAGCACCA